UACAGAGGGUGCAAUCGUUGUUCGGAAUUACUGGGCGUAAAGCGCGUGUAGGCGGUCCGGUAAGUCCGCUGUGAAAGUCGGGGGCUCAACCCUCGAAUGCCGGUGGAUACUGUCGGGCUAGAGUGCGGAAGAGGCGAGUGGAAUUCCUGGUGUAGCGGUGAAAUGCGCAGAUAUCAGGAGGAACACCGAUUGCGAAGGCAGCUCGCUGGGACGUUACUGACGCUGAGACGCGAAAGCGUGGGGAGCAAACAGG
rnacentral:rRNA from 1 species